AGUGAACGCUGGCGGUAGGCCUAACACAUGCAAGUCGAACGGCAGCACAGUAAGAGCUUGCUCUUACGGGUGGCGAGUGGCGGACUGGUGAGGCAUACAUCGGAAUCUACUUUUUCGUGGGGGAUAACGUAGGGAAACUUACGCUAUUACCGCAUACGACCUACGUGUGAAAGCAGUGGAUCUUCGGAUCUUGCGCGUUUGAAUGAGCCGAUGUCGGAUUAGCUAGUUGGCGGGGUAAAGGCCCACCAAGGCGACGAUCCGUAGCUGGUCUGAAAGGAUGAUCAGUCACACUGGAACUGAGACACGGUCAAGAAUCCUACGGGAGGCAGCAGUGGGGAAUAUUGGACAAUAGGAGAAAGAAUGAUCCAGCCAUACCGCGUGAGUGAAGAAGGCCUUCGGGUUGGAAAACACUUUUGGUGGGGAAGAAGAGCAGCAGGUUAAAAACCCGCUGUUGUGACGGUACCAAAAGAAUAAGCACCGGCUAAAUUCGUG
rnacentral:rRNA from 1 species